GACUCCUGCAAUGAAAUACUUCACCUGCGGAGCCUGCUGAGAGUGAAAUUGAUAAAGUGCGGCACCAGCUCAGACAAUUUCACUCACAGCAGGCACUUGCAGGUGAAGCACUACCACAAAAUGGAGC
rnacentral:precursor_RNA from 7 species